UACGGGGGGAGCAAGCGUUGUUCGGAUUUACUGGGCGUAAAGGGCGCGUAGGCGGCCUCCGCAAGUCAGUUGUGAAAUCUCCGAGCUUAACUCGGAAAGGUCAACUGAUACUGCGGGGCUAGAGUGCGGAAGGGGCAACUGGAAUUCUUGGUGUAGCGGUGAAAUGCGUAGAUAUCGAGAGGAACACCUGCGGCGAAGGCGGCAUCCUGGACCGGCAUUGACGCUGAGGCGCGAAAGCUAGGGGAGCAAACAGG
rnacentral:rRNA from 1 species